rnacentral:lncRNA from 1 species
UAGGGUCAAAGGAAUGGUCGAUUAUCGGUGACAGUGUCUCAUAAGAUUCAGUCAAAAUCUAUUAGGGGUUUAAGAUUUGGAUCAAAGGAAGACUUCGGUGUGAUAGUGUCUCAUGGGAUUUGUUUAUUGAUUUUUCAGUCUAGGGUUUUGGAUGGAUUUGGGAUUUAGGUUUUCAGUAUAAAUAGAUUUGGGUUUUAGCCAUUAAGUGUUAGUGUUGAUACUCUCUUUAUUCUCUAACUUGAAUUUCUUCAUGUUAUGUAGAUGUUAGGUUGUGAAGACAAUGAGGAGCUACUUGGAUAGGGCACUGAAUCACGAGCAAAAGCAACUGGUGGAAAGAUUAGAGCCUUAGAGGUAAUGUUAUUUAUCAUUUAACAGGCAUGUCUUUUGUGCAUUUUUGUUAUGUCUUUUAACUGAUUUUCUGACUGCAAUAAGUUCCAGAUUCGGGUGCGAGACUGAGGGAAUUGAUGGCAUCAUGUUUCUGUUUUUUUUUUCUAUCAUUAUGAUUUCUUUUGGUCCCUCAUUCUGUAUUUUGGACAU